ensembl:snRNA U6 U6 spliceosomal RNA
GUGUUUGCUUUGGUAGCACAUAUGAUAAAAUCGGGAUGAUUCCAAGAUGAUUACCAUGGCCUCUACACACAGGUGAUAUGCAUAUUCAUGAAGUGUUUCAUAUGGUA